GCAGCCACUGAGGGCGGCCAUUUUGUGCUGCUGGGUAGGGGCGCGGAUGGGGGAGGGGAGGAGAGGAAGGCUUCGCUCAGAGACGGAGGAGACGGGCAGAGGCUUCCCUUCCCUCACACACACACACGGCGCAAGAUGGCCGGGGAGGCAGCAGCUUGCCGCCCGUGCUCCUCACUCGAGCGCUUCUCCCGCUCUCCUCCGCCGCCGCCUCGCAGAGAACCCUGCUCGGCCUGGGGGUGGCCGCCGGCUGAGGGGCUCCAGCCGGGCCCAGGGUUCCAAGGGGGGGUCUCUUAUCCGCCUCAGAAAGAGACGCAGCCCCCCCAAAAAUGCGCCCGGGCUGGCUCGGCUCCGUCCCCGCCGCCCCGCGCCUUUCCCGGGGCGGCCGAGGGCAGCAGGGCUCGGCGCGCCCAGCUUCCCCCGUUCUGCUUCUCCGCUUAGGAUGAUAUUCACUGGAUGUUUAUCCCUGCGAUAACUGGUGGCUGUCAGAUGAACUAUAGAUCUGUUUUUGAUAGAUUGCCUUGGGUUCUGCUAACUGGGCUUUCCAUAUGGCGCUAGAAGAUGAAAUGCUGUAUUCUGUACGUUGUUUCAGAUAACAUCGAUGGAUUGAAUGAUAUAUCUGAUACUGACUGGAGCACCGAGUCCAGACAAAGGAAGACUCAAAGAAAGACCACGAGUUCCAAAUCAAGAUGGCAGUUCCACUGAUUGAGAGGUUGAGAAAAUGAGAACUAAUGCAUGGUUGCCGAGUAUAUCCCUCCAAGCCAGGGGCACUUUAGCAUGGACUACGCUGUUGUCUAAACCAGAGAAGACUGUGGUUUAUGGCCAUCUCACAAUGACCUUUUUGAUUAAAUGUUUUGAGCUGUGUAUUAAUACAACUCAUUUGGGAUGUGGUGGAAAUGGCUCACUGAAAUCUGGUACCAGGAAUGUGUGCAUAUAUGUUUGGUCCCUGUCUGGUGGCAGAAAUGCAAUUCAAUCUCAAAAGAUUUAAAUAAAAAGCAUUUUUACAUUUUUA